rnacentral:rRNA from 1 species
GAUGAACGCUGGCGGCGUGCCUAAUACAUGCAAGUCGAGCGAACAGACGAGGAGCUUGCUCCUCUGACGUUAGCGGCGGACGGGUGAGUAACACGUGUAUAACCUCCCUAUAAGACUGGGAUAACUUCGGGAAACCGGCGCUAAUACCGGAUAAUCUCUUGAACCGCAUGGUUCAAUAGUGAAAGACGGUUUUGCUGUCACUUAUCGAUGGAUCCGCGCCGCAUUAGCUAGUUGGUAAGGUAACGGCUUACCAAGGCGACGAUGCGUAGCCGACCUGAGAGGGUGAUAGGCGACACUGGAACUGAGACACGGUCAAGACGCCUACGGGAGGCAGCAGUAGGGAAUCGGACGCAAUGGGCGAAAGCCUGACGGAGCAACGCCGCGUGAGUGAUGAAGGUCUUCGGAUCGUAAAACUCGGUUAUUAGGGAAGAACAAAUGUGUAAGGAACUAUGCACGGCUUGACGGUAACUAAUCAGAAAGCCACGGCUAACUACGUG